rfam:Ferrimonas balearica DSM 9799, complete genome.
CCUCCGCGCUGAGUUAGUGAUCGGCCGGAGGCCAUUUACCUUAUUUUUGGAGAUAUGACUAUGUCACUAAGCGCAGAAGCUAAAGCACAGAUCCUGGCUGAUUUCGGUCGUGGCGAG